GACGAACCGUCCAAACGUUAUUCGGAAUCACUGGGCUUACAGAGUUCGUAGGCGGUCUGGAAAGUUGGGUGUGAAAUCCCUCGGCUCAACCGAGGAACUGCGCUCAAAACUACCCGACUCGAGGGAGAUAGAGGAAAGCGGAACUGAUGGUGGAGCGGUGAAAUGCGUUGAUAUCAUCAGGAACACCGGUGGCGAAGGCGGCUUUCUGGACUGUUACUGACACUGAGGAACGAAAGCCAGGGGAGCAAACGGG
rnacentral:rRNA from 1 species